ACCUACGGGGGGCAGCAGUGGGGAAUAUUGCGCAAUGGGCGAGAGCCUGACGCAGCGACGCCGCGUGAGGGAUGAAGGUCUUCGGAUCGUAAACCUCUGUCAGCAGGGAAGAACGGUCACUGUGCUAAUCAGCAGUGAAUUGACGGUACCUGCAAAGGAAGCACCGGCUAACUCCGUGCCAGCAGCCGCGGUAAUACGGAGGGGGCGAGCGUUAAUCGGAAUUACUGGGCGUAAAGCGCUCGUAGGCGGUAUGUCAAGUCAAGAGUGAAAUACCCGCGCUCAACGUGGGAACUGCCUUUGAAACU
rnacentral:rRNA from 1 species